UACGUAGGGGGCAAGCGUUGUCCGGAAUCAUUGGGCGUAAAGCGCGUGUAGGCGGUUCAGUAAGUCUGCUGUGAAAGUCCAGGGCUCAACCCUGGGAUGCCGGUGGAUACUGCUGGGCUAGAGUACGGAAGAGGCGAGUGGAAUUCCCGGUGUAGCGGUGAAAUGCGCAGAUAUCGGGAGGAACACCAAUUGCGAAGGCAGCUCGCUGGGACGUCACUGACGCUGAGACGCGAAAGCGUGGGGAGCAACAGGG
rnacentral:rRNA from 1 species